AGGGAAACAGAUAAGCUUGUGAAUUCAGUCUAAAAUAAAUGCAGUUCUUUUUUUUUCUUUUUCUUUUUGAAGAUGAAAUGAAUUGCUGUUAUAAAACUAGAGAGGGUAGAAUUAUAAAAAAUCAAGACCUUGGCACAUGGAGGAAUAUAAUGAUGUUGUGAUGUUUCCUAUUGCAUUGCUGUGUGAAUGCAUCCUAAGUGAGCAUUCUCUGGGGCCCUGGUUCAGCAGUAGGACUCAUGCUUCACAUAUAUAAGGUCUCAGGUCCAAUCCUGGACACCACCAGUUCCAGGAGCUCUGGCAGGAAAACUGGCAGAGACCCCUAGCUGAGACUUCAGAGAUUCAGUGCCAGAGUAGGUGGUGAUCCUGGUCUAGCUAGAUCCAGGUAAAUGUAUGCAGUUUCAUACAUUGGGUGGUGGUGGUGAAUGCCCUCUGUUUUCCCAUCAGCUUCACGAGUUGGCAACAUUAUCAAAUUUAUCAUAAUUAUAUUUGUGGUGUAGUUUAAAUGCAAUUUGAUUGAUUGGAUUACCACAGUUUGUUUUAAGCUGCCUGCAAGUAACAUAAAAUAGGUGGGAUAUAAAUAUUUAACUGCAUAUAUAAGCUACAUGUGGAUAUUAAGUUUUUGGCCAAAAGGCUUUAUUCUCUGGAUGAGCAAUAAUUAUCUGGCACAUUGCUGGAAUGCAACAGUUUUUAAACACACACACACACACACACACACACACACACACACACACACUUACUUUAGAACUAUUUCCAGAGCUGCAUAAUUAGUUAUAAAAUUAAACACAGCUUUAAUUAAGGAGGUUUACCAGGGGCUUUCAUAAUUGCUGUACUAACAGUUUUCUAUCGUACUACACUCACUGAAGCAAUUCCACGAGGAAUAACUUGCACUGGACAAGCUAGCUCAAUAAUAACAACAACAAUUUGAAUUUGCAUAUAUGGUCUUUCAUGGUGCUAUGCAAAUCCUUACUGAGGAAAAUCGCUCACUGAUGCAAUUUAUCCAGGAAUGGGUUUAUUAAUAAAAUAAUCCCUGAAACCUUUUUUUUAGAUAAGAGGAUUUUUAUGAGCGGCUUUGCAAAGUGCCCGGGGGGUGGGGGGUGGGUGGGCGGGCAGGAUAACAUUUGUCCAAUUCCCAGCAACAUGACUAGCUUGUUUGGUUUAUUUGUAUUUAGUUAGAGAUGUGCAGCCUUCUCCAAAAACCUGCAUUAAGGAGCAGGAUGUACUUCAGUGGUAGGCAGUGGCAGAGGAAAAAGAGUGCAGAGUGUCUCAGCAAUACAGUUGGGGGGAAACUUAGUUAUUUUUCUCAGCUAUUUGGAUAUUCUUCUGAUGUUUUGCUUCAUUUGAGAAUGUUGCCAUGAAGUGGCUCCACGUUUUAGCUUUGUAUGAUGUAUAAAGAUAAUGCAACCGUUUCCUGAGAAAUGUCACAAAAUUUCAACAGUAUUUGCAUUUUAACUACUCCCAUUGCCCCGUGAAUCAUCUCCUACAGGUCACACUGUAGGUUCACUCAUAUGCAUGGGCAUAGCCAGGAUUUUUUGGGGGGGAAGAACCUCAGAUUUGUAUAGAGUUAUAUUGCUUUUUAUUGAUGGGGAGCAGCUGCCCCCCUGCCUCCCCUUGGCUAUGCCCAUGCUCAUAUGACAGGGCUACAACAGUCACUAGUUUAAAGGCAGGAAUUUGUAGCAAUAUGUUGGAGUGUGAUUGAUUUCCCUCUUCUGUCAAAGGGAAAGGAGAAGAAUCACACUUCAUAUACUGCUGAAGAUGGCCUCCUUUAAAGCAGCAACACAGUCCCUCACAUUCGCUCAGGAAAUGCUUUGCUUAGCUCUGGCACCUCUAAGGCAAAUACCAAUUGUCAUUCUAAGAAUAAUACCUUUAUUGUCAAUGUACAACCUGUGUACAAUGAAAUUAACCAAGCCUCCCCCCCCCCCACAAACACUCAAAGGAGAAGUUCAAGGUGAGCUUCAGCAUCUCAUUCUAGCACUGAUUAGGAGGGCCCUGUUCCCUCCACAGAGAUACCAUUUCCAGAGCCCCCUAUCACUAGGGAUUCAUUAUUAAACUACUCUGGGGAUUGUAGCUCUGAGAGGGGAAUAGGGGUCUUCUAGCAACUCUCAGCACCUUUAACAAACUACAGCCCAGAAUUCUCUGUGGGAAGUCAUGACUGUUUAAAGCCCUUUAAAUAUAUGGUGUAGAUGUGGCCCGAUUCCGGAGGAGUCCUAAGUCAUGAUGUACAGUACUGAAUAUGUUUCCUUAAGGGUGUUUUGGGGGGGGGAGGGACAUUCGAGGUGGCCCCUAAUAAGUCAUAUAAGUAGCCACGCUUGCAAAAUAAUGCAGCUGAAUUUGCCAAGAAGGUUGCUGUGAGACCAGCCGUCAAUGGCCAAGCAGCAGCUCUCCAUAUGCUUAGUUUAUGAUGCUUGAAGAGAAAAGUCCUUGAACUCCUCUGCCCUUCCUAUCACUGAUGGUGUUUCCCUUUCUGCUUUCACUUUUCAAUAGAAAACUAUUUCCCACACAUGUAAAUAAUUGGCCAUCUCAGCAUUGUUAUUAUCCCCCCACACACACACUUUUUGUUCUAGUCUUUCAGAUCUCCUUGACAUCCAGCCAUUUUGGGAUAACCAGGGAACCACAAGAAAGGGAACACCCAGGCAGGUCUCCGUCAGCUGUUGAGGAGUCAUUUCAGUUGCUGCUGCAGCUUUGCAGAACUGAAAGUUCGACCAAACUGCUGUUAAGCUGCUGGCUGCUGGUACAAUGUGGGAGUUUUGAUCCAUAUAUAUAUUCACUUUAUGGGUAGUUACUUUACACUGGUAUUAUCUUUCUUUCCCCCCAAGCUGACAGUGUGUGUAUCUGAAUGACUGGUACUUCUGGGAAUUCUUUGAAAGGAACGUUAUUAUUCCUCAUUUUAUGGCGCUAUAGGGAAAGGCCUCAGCUCAUUGGCAGAGCACCUCUGCUUUGCACGGAGAAUAUAUCUGGUUCAAUAGCCAGGUAGGGAUGGGAAUGUCUCCUGCAUGGAAACAUGCAGAAGUAUUGUCCGUCAGUGUAGUGUACUGAGGUAGAUAGACCAAUAGUCCAACUCAGUAAAAGCUUCUGUGUUUAUAGAUUCAUAGGACAGUCCACAGAUUCAUAGAAUCAUAGAGUUAGAAGGGACCCUGAAGAUCAUCUAGUCCAACGCAAAUAUGCAGCUGUCCCAUGCAGGGAUCAAUCCUGCAACCUUGGCAUUAUGAGCUCCGUGCUCUAACCAACUGAGCUAGGUAAAGGUACCCCUGACCAUUAGGUCCAGUUGCGGAUGACUCUGAGGUUGUGCGCUCAUCUCGUUCUAUAGGAUGAGGGAGCCGGUGUUUGUCCGCAGACAGCUUCUGGAUCAUGUGGCCAGCAUGACUAAGCUGCUUCUGGCGAACCAGAGCAGCGCAUGGAAAUGCUGUUUACCUUCCCGCCGGAGUGGUACCUAUUUAUCUACUUGCAUUUUGACGUGCUUUCAAACUGCUAGGUGGGCUGGAGCUGGGACUGAGCAACAGGAGCUCACACUGUUGCGGGGAUUCGAACUGCCGACCUUCCGAUCGGCAAGCCCUAGGCUCAGUGGUUUAGACCACAGCGCCAGCUGCGUCCCUAACCAACUAAGCUACACAGGCCUGAAUUUGUUUCCUUCAUCCUCUUCUUGAAUUUGGGAAGGAGAAAGAAUCAGAAUUUUGAUGUAUUCCCCAUUUCAAUUCAUAUAUAUUUUGCAUCAAAACAAAGUUGAGAUUUGGGAGGUUUUACUCACACAAAAAUGUUGUCUGUCUCAUUGCAUGCCUUCCUCAGGUUUAACGUUAAUGAAGUCUGAUGCUGUAUACUAUUUUAUGGUGGAUAUGAGUAGCCUCAUGACCAUGUGUAGAUCUUGGCCAGCUGCAAGGUAACCAAACAGGCACAGGUUUCUUGUCACCAUCUCAUAUUUAAUUCUAACGAUCAGAUUAAUAUCUCAUCCCCUAUGCAUAGAGUAGCCAAUGUGCCGCCCUUCAGAUGUUGUUUCACUACAGCUCCCAUUAUCCUUGAUUAUUGACCAUGUUGACUGGGGCUGUUGUAGUCCAACAACAUCUUCAGAGCACCAUGUUGAUUAUCCCUGAUAUAUAUAUUAUCUUCAAGCCUAUUAUGCAUUUAAUUGAAAUAUAAAUAAAUGGUUUUAGCAAGAAAUUGUGGGCACUGCCUUACCCUUCCCAUUGGUGCUUAGUAGGUCUCUUUAGGAAAACCUGAGGCAUUCUAUCCAGUUCACACUGUCAAUUCAAUGUUCAUUCUGGAAUUGAAACCAAGAAUGAAUUCAUUGUGAGACUCACCUAGAUGCAAUGCAGAACUUACAUCAGAUGCUAUGUGGUUGUCUGCUUGGGAAAGCUCAGCAUUUAUAGAAAUAUCUUCUUAGACCAAUGUGCCUUUCCAAGGUUCUACCCAGUCCCUAAAACAUUGAGGCCUUUUCCCUUGAAUCUGUAUGUAUCCCCAAAAUAUAUACAGUGAGGAUGUUUUGACAUAAGAAACAGGCCUCUUUCAGUACAUGUGGAUUUGUUAUUUUAUUUUUACUAUUUAUUGUGAGAUGAUGGCAACAUGAGAUCAGGAGGUCUCAGCCUCCAUGGAUCCUGAUACUGCCCUCUGCCAUGCCUUAGCUCAUGACAGUAACUCUCCCACUUAUUUAGCUUCUUCUUGCAUGAAAUGGCAGAUUGCUCUGUAACCUAAUGAACCUAAUGAACAUGAUAUGACAUCUGUACGGGAGGAUAGUACAACAUCCUGCUUGGAACCAGGUUUAACCAUGCUUCAGUUUAACAUAUGUCUGCCUAUGUGGAAAGACCCUAGAGCCACAGCUAGAGACAGAUGCAUAACACAGAAAACACAGAAAACUGAAUAAUGUCUGAAUAGACACCUGUAAAAGCCUGAGGUGAGCCCACAGCUGCCUGUGAACAUCUUAUCCCAGCCAAAGGAGGCUGACAGCCAAGGGACCCUUCUUUAAAACAAGAUAUAUUUCUCUCUCUUAAAUCUUCUGCAGAUAGGUGCUGCUUGUUUUGAACACAUGCUGAUGUGAAAAGAAUUGAUAAUCAGGGUUAUUCUAUCCUUUUGGUGAAGGGAAUUCUAGGAAAUGUAGGAAUUCUAAAUUCUAAUUCUAAUUCCUUUAGAAUUCCUGCAAAAAUUUUGUGCAGAAGUACCAAGAUCUGUGCAGAUGGGAUGGUGUAUCAGAGGAGGUUGUGCUUGGGAGAUGAGAUGCUAGCAUAGGAAUAGCACAGGAAGGAAAAUGGUAACAAGAAAACAUCUAUGGAUAUUUGACCAGAAAUUAUGCAAUAUAUUACAGUGGAUAAGUGAAGGAAUAUUUAUGUAUGAAUGGUGGUAUGUAAAUGCCAACCAUUGUCAGAGCAUGUGUGUUGAAGAUUUGCAAGAUAUACUUUGAAAAAUCAAUGAAAAACCAGUGAAUGCUAGCAGUAAUGAGUGCCAACUUUUACAUGUACAGAAAAUGUGGCAAUGUAUACAUAGCUUUGGACGCUGACAAAAUUCAUCAUGGUAUUGUCAGCAUGUGACUCUUGAGAUUCACCAGAUUUUGGACUUCCUCUGUAACACAAACUUUCAACUGCAGUAAUAAUUAUGACAUUGGGUCGACUGCUCCUGGAAAGUUUAUUCUGUAGACAUGUAAUUUGCUAGUUUGGAAGAUUAGGAAGUCAAAAGUAGAGGCAUCUGUAUUUUCUUGCUAAAUCAUCCAUGCCCCAAUGUAAACAUUAUAGAAACACACUCCCAUUCACAAUGUCUACCCUUCCUCUUUAUAUUAGAAAUAAUUGAAAGACGGGACCUUUCUAAGGCUCCAAGAAGCUCAAGGGUGGAAUCUUCAUUUGUUGCCUUCUUCCUUCUCUUCUCUGUUGAAAUGUACCAUUUGUCAAUGUCAUUAUGGCACCCUCCAUGUUUAAAACCUGGGGAAAUGACCCCAUCACACUCUUCCCUGCCAAAAGGGGCCUGAGUUUGCCUUGCUAGACUGCAGACUCAGGCUCCAGUGUCUGCUUCCAACAACACCAAGAUUACAAUGAGCUUAAGAGACUUCUUGGAGCCUUUCAAAUUAUUGUGCUGCAGUGGCCAUUGUAUAGACCCACGGGAGCCCUUCAUUUUAAAAUUCCUAUACCAAAUGUGGCCGUUUCUCUGCAUCUGACUUUUAAGUGUCUCUCUCCAGUUACUUCUAAAUCCUCUUAGCCAGAGAUAGUUCUAUCUUGGGACUCAUAACACUAUUCCUGAAGAAUCAUUUUCAUUUGUUUUGCCCUAGAAAUCCACUGUCCUCCCUUGCCCAUUUUCGCCAGUGGAAAUUAUUUCCUUUAUAGUUUGCAGGUAACUUCCUUAUUGGUUCCCAGGCUCUGUACUUUGAAUCUCAAAUGUUUCCAUUUCCCUUCUCUGGGAAGCUAAAGAGUUCAAUUUGACAGAAUAUAUAGGCCUGCUAUUCUCAUUAUUCUUGUUUCCCCUGUAUUUAAAUUUCUCCAAUGCUGUCGGCUACAGCAAGCUAAUAAUCCUUCUGUGAUUUUUCAGCAUAACAUUUUAGUACUGGCCUUUGUUAGAGAAAUGAAUGUAUUGGGUUACUCUUGAGAGUUAAGUAAAAGGGGAUGGUUUAUCAUCAUAAAGUUUCAGCAAACAGAAAAGCACAUAGUUCCAUUGCACUAUAUUGUUUAAACAGGGUCAGUCUUUCAGCUGAUAUAAACAAUAGUCUUGAAAUAAAAGUGUCAGAGGAGAAUGCACGGAUCUUUAUAGGAUUGCAUUCCAUAGUCCUGAGAAGCGAAAUAUUAAUCAACUGGUAAAAUUCAGCUUCAUGCCUUUUGUUGAAAAAUGAAUAAAGAUGGCAUGUUUUUCUUCUUUUUCCAUCUAGGGGGUGGGGUCUUUCCAAAAUGCUAUUGUGUGACCCGGAUGCUAAUGCAGUACCUUCAAGGUACCUUUCCACACUCUGCUGAAGAACCUCUGCAACCUGCCUAGUUAGCUGAGAUUGAUGAGCACUGCAGCCCAAAACAGCUGGAGCACACCUGGUUGGGGAAUGUUGGCCUAGACUCAGAAUGGGGUGAUGUAGAAGGCUGGUGAAUAUGAUAUGCAAGUAUUUUUGAAAACUGGCCACCCAAAUUAUCCAGAGAGGCAAAUAAGGUUGCAGGUGUGAAAUCUUCAAGUAUGGCAAUUUCUCACAAUCAGUGAGACUGGGCAGAAGUAACCAUUUAGCUUUUCGCUGUUCCUGAAGUGCAAAGUGACCUGCAGUCAUUUAUAUAUUUAUGUUUCUAUUUUUUGAGUUGUAUUUUCUCUUCAUAUCAUCGCCUUAGUUUCUUUAAAAUCUUUUUUUUUGGGGGGGGGGGAAUUUGUUCAAUUAAAUGUGUGAUUUACAAAUAAAUAAAUAAAUAAAACAGCCUGAUAAGCUAGGUGUUUCGAAAAUUAUCUAUAUUAAGCUAGUAUUAAUAGUAGAAAUGCAGGUAAUGUAGCAGGGAAGAGAUAAACUACACUACAACUUAAUCCCUAUUGCUAGCCCUUCAUUGGUGGUUACUUAAAUGGAAUGCUGUAAAUGUUUCCUCAAAUUAAUUAAAAUACCAGUGGAAUGAUACUGGGUUUUUUUUACGAUGGUGGAGUUUCCCCAAGAUCAAAUAAGACUGGUUCAGAUUAAGCAGAAAUGCACACACACAAGUAUACACACACAGAGAGAAAUAGUUUGGUUUAGCUCAGUCUGAGCCCCUUGAAGUCAGUUCAGUUUCCUUCAUGCUCCUAGAGAGCCAGUGUGGUGUUGGGGUUAAGAGUGAUAGACUCGUAAUCUGGGGAACCGGGUUCGCGUCUCCGCUCCUCCACAUGCAGUUGCUGGGUGACCUUGGGCCAGUCACACUUCUCUGAAGUCUCUCAGCCCCACUCACCUCACAGAGUGUUUGUUGUGGGGGAGGAAGGGAAAGGAGAAUGUUAGCCGCUUUGAGACUCCUUUGGGUAGUGAUAAAAUGGGAUAUCAAAUCCAAACUCUUCUUCUUCUUCUUCUUCUCCUCCUCCUCCUCCUCCUCCUAUUCAGGAAUGCAGUGGGGUCUGAUUCCUUACCCCAAUGAGCCUCCAAGUUCCCUCACCUCACCUACCUACAAUCUUAUUUGCCCCCAUUUCUCCAACCUCCCAUGAGCCUCCAACUCCAACUCCAAUCUCCUGCUUGGGUGCUAUUCCAGCAGAGAAAUGGAAUUGAAUUAUUCCCUGGCUCUGAAUAAAAUCUAAGACAGAAAGGGACUAUGGGGGUCAUAAUGCUUGCCUUAUAUCUGAGUGAGUUGUAUGAGUUUUAUCAGGAAGAAAUCCAAGUCUCAUUGAAUUUCUAAUAUACUGAUACAUUUAGGGAAGCAGCAGGGUUAGACUUUCCCUACAAAGUCAGGAUUCCCAUUCAAUAAACUAAAAUAUAGCAUUCCUAUAAAUAGAAUAUUUCAUCACUUGCCAAUGCUGUGUAUCUCUUAAUAUUCACUGGAAUUGUCAACUGUGUCUUUCUUUGGGAGGUCUUGGGGGUCUUCACAUGCAAUUAUUAUUUCUGUUUGUUUAAAUAAUUUUUAACCUGCUCUUCAGCCAAAAACAAGCAAGGCUCCAGAACAAUUUACAAAUAUCAGUAAAAAGACAUUUCCUAGUCUCAGGUUUAAACUUGAAAAGACUCCAUACAAAACGGAAAAGAAAUUGGGACACUGGCUGUUUAUAACAAUACAGUAAUUAUAAUAUAACAAUAUGAUAAUAACCACUAUAUCUCUGAAACCUCUGUGCCUUACACAGAUCAAUUUUUUUUGUCUGAUGAAGAUUCUCUUGGUCAUACAGCUUUGGUAAGAGGACAAACUGCUAACAUUCUGUAUUUUAUGCAAGCGUUAAAUGCAUAAGUGCCUCAAUCUGUUUUGCAUAAUUAUUGUAAUUAGCAGUACAAUCCUAUUCUUGCCCUCUUGGAAUCAAGUCCCUUUCCCCCACCCAGUAAGUGAGUAAAGGAUUGUGGGCUGAGUUCCAAAAACUUUACAGUCAUGUGUGUACUUCCAGUUUUGCAGCUAUUUAUGAUCAAAUGCUAAGUAUCCCAUUUGCAAGCAUCUAUUUAUGCUUCUCUUCUUUAACAUCCAACCGUACAUGGAGGUUUGGACAGUAAACCUAAUUAUAUGAAAUUUUACCUAAUGAAUCGCUUAUAAGUGCUCCUAUUUUUCACAUUUCAUGGCUGACAAAUGAAAAUUAAAAUCUGUAAAAAGUGCAUAAUGAAAUGUUAAACCCAUAAAUACUCAACGCGCACACAGCUACUAUAAUCUGAAAAAUGUUUUCAAUAGCACAAUUUCCCUGGGCAUGACACUAAUUGCUUGCUGUUGUGGCUGUUUGGUUUUAUUCAAAGGAGUAAAAUGAUGAAAAUGAAACUUUCAGUCAGUAUUUGCAAAAAUAUGUGUGCACUCUCACUUUUGCCAAUUGCAGAAAUUCUCUAAAAAGAGUGAAGCAAACAGAUCUCACUUUGUUUAGUGUUCUAUUCAUUCUUCAGGCAAAUGCUAACCACUAUUCCACUGAACAAUGAAAUCUUUGCAUUCAAAAAUGUAGUUGUGACUUCCAUUUAUGAACAAGAACAUUAUUGCAAGACCUGCACCAGAACAACAAUAUAAAAUACAACUUAAAAUGAAAUAAAAUCACAACUAAUGUGGGUCCUAAAAUAUAUAUAACUCAGGUGACAAAGAACAAGGUAAAGACAAAAGCUGAAUAAUGAAGGUGCCAAGUAUGAGGGAAUUCUGCACCUUGUAGAGAAGUAUGCCUUCUCAUGGCUCCCACCACCCAGACACCUGAGGAUGGUGGAACUAACAAGAACCCGCCCCUCUGCUGAUCUUAUCAUCUGAGGUCUGUAAGAAAUAAGGUACUCUUUCAAAUGUUUGGAGUUUAAGUGAUUUGGGUUUUUAAACACCUAGUGUGAACAUCUCAAAUGUUUUCAAAUAGGUAAAGGUAAAAGGUAAAGAACCCCUGGACAGUUAAGACUAUGGGGUUGCGUCGCUCAUCUUGCUUUCAGGCCAAUGGAGCCGGCGUUUGUCCACAGACAGCUUUCCGGGCCAUGUGGCCUGUAUGACUAAACUGCUUCUGGUGCAUGGGACACCAUGAAGAAAGCCAGAGUGCACAAAAAUGCCGUUUACCUUCCUACUGGCAUGCUUUUGAACUGCAAGGUUGGCAGAAGCUGGGACAGAACAAUGGGAGCUCAUCCCAUCGCGGGAAUUCAAACCGCCGACCUUCUGAUCGGCAAGCCCAAGAGGCUCAGUGGUUUAAACCACAGUGCCACCCACAUCCCAAUAGUGGGUAUAUGAGUUCAAAGGGAACCCCAGCUACUAAUCUGACCGCUGCAUUUUUGGCCAGUUGAAGUUUACGACAUGUCUUCGAGGGCAGCUCUAGUGUAUGGCAAUAAUCUGAUCUGGAAGGUAUCAGAGCAUAGAGUAACAGGACCAAGACAUCUCUGUCUCAAAGUGGCCAUAGCUAGCAAAACUGGAAAUAAGCACUCCUAGCCACUGAGGCCACUCCAAUCCCAUCCAGGACAGGCUGUCUCCACAUCGCCUGGACUCAAAAGCUUGGUUGUUAUGUUUCCUUGUGUCCUUGCAUUUAGCAUUUAUCUUUCGGUCAUAUAAAAUGACCUAUGAUUAAGUCCCAUUGAACUCAGUGAAUUUUACUUCUACACAUGAAUAGGACUGCACCGUCCCAUCCCUAGAGAAGGGACUGCACAUCUGGAACCAUGUAAAUCUCUCACUUUGUUAUUGAUGGCCAAUUCAAACAUGCAUUUACAUCUCCAGUGAGUUCCAGCUCUUCUCAAAAUAAUGUUAAAGCUCUGGUGCUUGUUCUGUGUCAUUGGGCAAAUGGUGAUUGAAAACUGCAAUAAUCAAGCUAAAUCUGCAACUGACUAGUAGCAGCUUAUAUACCUAGCAUUGUUGUGGAUGUCACUGUGUGUUGUGAAUUGUCACUAGAUGUUCUAGGUGCUGAUCAUCAAGAAACCUGCUACCAAAUGAAACAUCCUUAUUCAGCUGCAUAUGUUGAGACCUGUGGGUGCCUGUUAUGGUCAUUGUUAAAUGCUAUUUUAUUAAUCAUAAGUGAUCGCAUCUCAGCAGCGUACACAAGACUAGGUCAGAUAACUUCGCAUUAGCCUGUUUUAUAUUAUUUCACCUCCUUCUGUGGUUACAGACCUGUUUUAUUCUGAACUAUUCAAGUCAUAACCACACAGAGUUUUUGUUAAAGGCCAAAACUGGACAUCAAAUCAGGUGAAUUGGAAAACGUUUUAAGAAAAACCACUAAAAUCAAUGUAUUUAUCACCAUCUAGGUUGGUACACUACAUUUUGCCCUUUUUCAAAAUGCCAAGGCCUUAAAUGUAAUUGCUGUGAAUGAAUAUUUUUUUAAAAAAUGAUAUUUAUUAAGAUUUCAAAAAGAAGGAUUACAUAAGUAAAGGAGAAACAAAAACAAAAACAAAACAAAAGACAACAGUAAAAAUACAAGAAAAAUACAAAAUACAAAGUACAGAAAAAAAAGAAUAAAAAACACUUAAAAAUACAUCAGUUUUUCCAUGCCUUACAUUCAUUUGCUGUGAAUGAAUAUUAUACAUGACAGUAUUUACUAGCAAUAUUUUUUAAUGUUGGUUAUGAAGAAAAUGAAUAGAAAAUCCUAGCGCAAAUAAUAAAUUGCCUACUGUAUAUAAGCCAGAAUUAUGGACAAAACAGGAAGAUACCUCUUGAAAUAAUGCUAUGCUUCUAAUUGACUUCUCUUUUUUCAGAUUUCAUUUUGAAUUUCACAGAGAACACACAAUUCUUCUAAGAAACUAAACAUGUCAGCAAACUUCACUGCUAGGCAAAAUGGCUUAAUUCUAGUGUCUACUUUGUUCUGUCCCAUUGCUCUUGUGUGUGGUUUUUUGUUCUAAAAGUACACUAUAAAAAUCCUGAUCCAAAAAGACAUUUCUAAAUCCACUUUUCAAUGAGGACUGUUGAAAAUUAGCUUCAGAAUUGCACCCUUUGAUUAUGGCUUUAUUAAUGUGGCCACUGAUUGCUUAAAGUGUAUCAAAGAACAAUGUUUCUUAUAUUGUUGGUUUAUUUCUAUCUCUAAGAGGAGUGAUGCUUCUUCUAAUGGAACAUGUGUAGCCAAAUACAGCAUGUAUUUGUGCUGGUUGAACUUUUUGAGAGGUCUUUUCCUGCGCAGAAAGAUAAAUAAAUUGAGCAUUGGAAAUGGAAAUGGCUUUCUUCCUGGCUUUUAGCUUAUUUAGGACUUGGUCAUCUUGAGAACGUUACUGGUAGUUGCUUAAUUUGUACACAGCAUAAUAUAUUCAGGGAGAUGGCUUUUCUGUUCUUAAAUAUUCUGGUCACAGCUGCCUUGUAGUUGUCUACCUUAUAUAAAUUUCAGCCUGCCUCAGUUGAAAAUACAUAUUUGAGAACUGAAUGACCCGUUCGAUUGCCUAACACAUCUUCCUGCCGUAAUUUAAGUCUGCACUUGACCAUCAUCAUUUUUGAAAAUAGACCUUUUCUAAUCAUUAGAUUUCAAGCAUAGGUGUGUGUGUGAUGAUCAUAAAGUAUGAUUAUGGCAAUUUCCAUGCUGGACCUCAUUACUCUGCAAAAAAAUCAAUAGCCAGUGCCAUUUGAAUUUGCUGACUUCAGGUGUAAACUGUACCUCUUUAAUGAGAUGGAGCUUUCUCUUUGAGACCUAAAGCUCACAACAAGACAACAAUGGGUUGGAUACAGACUUAGUCCUGCUUAUAGUAAAUCUAUUGAAAUCAGUGGGAUUUUACAGAUUGGAAACUCAUGCUGAGAAAAAGUGGAAUGCCUAAGGCCAUCACACUAGACUGUGAAUAAGCUGAACAGAAAGCUAAAACUAAACUUCCUCACUUGGUAUCCAUCAGGAUAGGAGUUGUAGCCCAAAAUUUCUGGAUGGCACCAGUUUGAGGAAGGCUACAUUGAACCAUAUUCUGUGUGUUAUGAGGACAAAAGCGAAACCACACAUUGCAUACUUUCUUCUUGCUCCGCCCCCCAUGUGGCCGUACGAAAGAAAUGGAAAUUUCUGCUUCCAUUUUAGACAGUUUUGGGUUACCUCUCGGCCCUUAACUGUGGUUUAUCAUAACCACAGCUGGGUGAAACCAUCUUCUUAAUAUAUGGUUUGAAGUAGACUUCUUUCCACUAACCAUACCUAAAAAAUUAAUUGUAGCUUGUCUGGGUCCAGAUGACACAGCAAGCUGUGGUUAAUCUAAGAUGUAAUGAAAACUUUUGAACUCCUUCCAUGACUUAGCUGCUAGAAUACAGCAUUACAUCCAAACUGGACUUUUGUCUAAGGGUGGCGGUUUCUAUAUAUAUAUUCUGUUUGGCAUGGAUUUUACAGCAGCAACAACAAAAGGGGCUGCAGCAGCCCUUCUCGGUCCUUGAAAGCUGAAUUCUGAUUGAAGGAUUGUAUGAAAUCUCCUUUCAUACUUGUGACUGUAAAAUGUGUAUCCUGCAUCCAUGGUGGAUCUCUGCUAAUAGCGGUCCAGGGAAAGCAAUCUUGUCUAAUUUGGGAGCACUGGUGGAAGAAGGCUUUGAAUUCUUCUCCGGAACCCCAGAUUCAGCCAAGAUUCCUGUAUUCACAUUGCUCAUAGAAGCACAGAGAAAGCAUUUUGUGUUUUAAUGGAGAGAAGGAUGGUUGGGUGCAGGACAACAGAGGCAUUCAUGGUCAGUUCCAGUACCUCUUUUUCUGGAAAAAUAGCACUGGUUGGGUGUGGUUCCUGAACAUCUAUGCCCCCAUUUAAUCAUGUCUCUCGCCCACGAAACAGCUGUCCUCUGAGGAACAUUGACCUGGUGCAUCUGUCUCCCCAUUUAAAUCAGGGUGGGUGGGUGGGUGGGUGGGUGCGUGCACACAUGUAUAAAGGAGGGGUGUGUGCAUUUGUGUGUGAGAGAGUGGAUGUGUGUGCUUGGAUAUGCAUAUACCUGGCUCUGGCUAGCAUGUGGUUCCUGAACCUCCUACCAACCCCAUUUUGCCAUCAGUGCCAAAAAUGUGGGAAACUCCUACUUUAGGGAAGGCGUCAGAACCACCCCCUGCCCCACAUGAACUGGGUCCCAGAACUUGUGUGCGUACAGCUUCCUAGUUGUAUGUUACUCUUGAUUUACAUGAUAUUGUUUUAACAUUUAAGGGGAUCCAGCGCCAAGGGCCUUCUGGCGGUUCCCUCAUUGCGAGAAGUGAGGUUACAGGGGACCAGACAGAGGGCCUUCUCGGUAGUGGCGCCCGCCCUGUGGAACACCCUCCCUUCAGAUGUCAAGGAAAUAAGCACCUAUCCUAUCUUUAAAAGACAUCUGAAGGCUGUCCUGUUUAGGUAAGUUGUUAAUAUUUAAUGCUGUAUUGUUUUUAACACUCGACUGGGAGCUGCCCAGAGUGGCUGGGGAGACUCAGCCGGAUGGGCGGGGUAUAAAUAAAUUAUUAUUAUUAUUAUUAUUAUUAUUAUUAUUAUUAUUAUUACAUUUCAAAUACAUUCUAGUAAAUCAGUAAAUCACAUAACACUGGUCUUGAAAGACCUACAUUGGCUCCCAGUAUAUUUCCGAGCACAAUUCAAAGUGUUGGUGCUGACCUUUAAAGCCCUAAACAGCCUCGGUCCAGUAUACCUGAAGGAAGAUCUCCAUCCCCAUCAUUCUCCCCAGACACUGAGGUCCAGUGCCGAGGGCCUUCUGGCGGUUCCCUCACUGCGAGAAGCCAAGUUACAGGGAACCAGGCAGAGGGCCUUCUGGGUAGUGGUACCCUCCCUGUGGAACGCCCUCCCACUAGAUGUCAAAGAGAAAAACAACUACCAGACUUUUAGAAGACAUCUGAAGGCAGCCCUGUUUAGGGAAGCUUUUAAUGUUUAAUAGACUAUUGUAUUUUAAUAUUCUGUUGGAAGCCGCCCAGAGUGGCUGGGGAAACCCAGCCACAUGGGCGGGGUAUAAAUAAAUUAUUCUUAUUCUUAUUCUUAUUCUUUGUUCAUUCCUAAAGGUUAUCCCCCUUCUGUGAUAUCCUUCUUCCUUUUCUGAUUCUCUAUGGAGUAAUUCUACACAUGCAUUCCUUUGAUUCUACAAAUAAGAAGUUGUGGUCAUAAAAUGUAUUACAUAUAUAACAAACUAUUUACUUAAGGGCCAAUUGUUUGUUUACUGACUGUGAACUUGUACGUGAAACUGUUAAUCCUGGGAUGCUCUAGUAAAUAAAACAGAUCUGAAAAUAAACAGAUUUUAAUGAAUAAAUCUAUAACGUUUCAGGAAUUACUGUGGAUUCAAAGCUUUUUACGAGGCACUG